ACUAUAUAUUACAUGGACUGCCAACACUAAGGAAACUAAGCAUAAGUUCCAUUCACCGAGGCGUCCUUGGUUGCGUGGUAAAUUGACUUCCGGUAGAAUUUUUUUUACUAUAUAAAGAAACCAUUCCCGAAGAUUUUUAUCACCACUUUUACAGCAAAUCAUAAAUGGAAACUUAAUUGUCAUAUACGAUGUUACAGAGGAGUUUGCACACAGUGCCAGAAGCUGUAUAAAUACAUUUAACAAUGUAUAUUUCAAGAAGAAAUGAUGCUUUCUUAUUCCUAAGAGUUUAUCAAUAGGAUGAAUGCCACAAAACUCACUUGUUAUGCCAGAAACUCUUCCUACGAAACUUCCAUACUAGAAUUUGUCCAGUGCCUGUGAUCCUCUGAGUUGAAGGAGAAUGUGCUCCAUAAUACCUACUAGGAGCUUGCUGAUAGCUGGAAGUUCAUGAAUACUAUGUUGUCCUUGAUUUUAUGAUUCUGAAAACUACCAUUUCUGAAGACUUGAGCAUUAUUUCUAUAAUUUAAAAAAAUCUUUUCAGGAAAUAUUGUGUUUAUAAUAUUAAGAAUGU